rnacentral:rRNA from 1 species
UGCAGGUCGAACGAGACCUUCGGGUCUAGUGGCGCACGGGUGAGUAACGCGUGGAAACCUACCAUUCUGUACGGAAUAACGAUUGGAAACGAUCGCUAAUACCGUAUACGCCCUGUGGGGGAAAGGUCCGCCGCAGAAUGAGGGGUCCGCGUCCGAUUAGCUUGUUGGUGGGGUAAAAGCCUACCAAGGCGAUGAUCGGUAGCUGGUCUGAGAGGAUGAUCAGCCACACUGGGACUGAGACACGGCCCAGACUCCUACGGGAGGCAGCAGUGGGGAAUAUUGGACAAUGGGGGCAACCCUGAUCCAGCAAUGCCGCGUGUGUGAAGAAAGGCCUUAGGGUUGUAAAGCACUUUCAAUGGUGAAAGAUGAUGACGGUAGCCCGUAAAAGAAGCCCCGGCUAACUUCGUGCCCAGCAGCCGCGGUAAUACGAANGGGGCGAGCGUUGUUCGAAUUACUGGGGCGUAAAGGGCGCGCAGGCGGCCAAUCCAGUCAGGGGUGAAAACCCCGGGCUUAACCUGG